UACGAAGGGGGCUAGCGUUGCUCGGAAUCACUGGGCGUAAAGGGUGCGUAGGCGGGUCUUUAAGUCAGGGGUGAAAUCCUGGAGCUCAACUCCAGAACUGCCUUUGAUACUGAGGAUCUUGAGUUCGGGAGAGGUGAGUGGAACUGCGAGUGUAGAGGUGAAAUUCGUAGAUAUCGGGAGGAACACCGGUGGCGAAGGCGGCGACCUGGGUCGAUACUGACGCUGAUGCGCGAAAGCUAGGGGAGCAAACAGG
rnacentral:rRNA from 1 species